rnacentral:tmRNA from 1 species
GGGGUUGACCGGAUUUGACAGCGGGCAGAAACGGUAAGUAAGCAUGCAGUGCAUCGGUGAUUGGCACUUUAAUCUUAGUUACCAGAAAUUUAUCUGGCGAAACUGAUUACGCUCUUGCUGCUUAAUCGAAGUAUAGUAGAUUGGCUUAAUUUUCGUACAAGGUGCGGAAACGAGACACCACUCGGAUGCUGUAGCUCCGAAGCGUUCCGGUUCAGUGGUGCAGUAAUAUCGGAGAUAGCUUGAGACAGCUUCGUGUUUCAAACGAAAUUUUAAGAAGAUAAGGUAUGGGUAGAUGGCUUUGGUUUUGCUCAUACACAAAAACCUAAACAAAGAUAAGCAUGUAGAAAGCUUAUGAUUUCCUCGUUUGGACGAGGGUUCGACUCCCUCCAACUCCAC